UUUCAAAUGCCCACUUUCUUGAAAAACUAAUUGUGAAGCUGAGAAGGAUGUACAAGGGUAUCUGUAGACAGCAUGUAUCAGACCAG